rnacentral:rRNA from 1 species
CCCUACGGGGGGCAGCAGUGAGGAAUAUUGGUCAAUGGGCUUACGCCUGAACCAGCCAAGUCGCGUGAGGGAAGACUGCCCUAUGGGUUGUAAACCUCUUUUGUCAGGGAGCAACGCCGGCUACGUGUAGCCGGACUGAGAGUACCUGAAGAAAAAGCAUCGGCUAACCCCGUGCCAGCAGCCGCGGUAAUACGGAGGAUGCGAGUGUUAUCCGGAUUUAUUGGGUUUAAAGGGUGCGUAGGCGGAAUGCCAAGUCAGCGGCAAAAUCGCGGGGUUCAACCUCGCUCCGCCGUAGAAACUGUAGG